CCAACUGUUGUGAUUUGGAAGGCACAAUCCUGAUUAAUCCUCUGUCGUCCCAUUUUUUUUCAGUUGCUUUCAAGACGUCCCAGUUUUUCUCUCCGUCCGUCACUCUCCUCGCUUUCAAUUGCCACAAGCUGAGCAGCUCUGGAAUAAAAUGGGAACAGCUGCUGUGUUUAAUUAUACAGCAUUUUGGAGAGAGCAGGCAGUGUGUAACCUUUCGGAUGCUGUUGGAUUAAAGCUUUCAUCAUCCCAAAACAUGGACCAUGUUGCUUAGGGAUGAUGAAAGUUGAAGUCCAAGGAUACCAGAUGACUUCCAACCCUGUUAUAAAUCUGAGACAUUUCUACAAGAAAAUGUCAUCGCAAGAGCCAAGGCAAGACAGAGGCAACACAUCUAGGAUUCUCCUGAAAGUGACAGAAGGAGUAGCUAUUUGCUCUUCAGCCCUGUAUAGAAGGUUUUGAAAAAUCCCUUUAAUCUUACAAAUAUUGGUAUAGAGUGUGUGCACGAGAGAGAAAGAAAGAGAUGAAAUCUUGGCACUUAAGUAAAGAUCUCAUGUUGGCUGAUCAAAGACACUGAUAAAUGUGUUAUCUGAAUGAUAGCUUUGCUGUUUGACUGUAAAUUUGAUUUGAAACGAUGCUCUUUUUAGUUUUUUUUCUUUAAGACAACCCACCCCUGUUUGCUACUAAUUAUGGAAUUGAAUCAAAGGCUAAUGAUACUCCCAUCACGGAGCUGAUUAAUCUGGACAGAUGUUUGUUAUCUCCUGAAAGCAGACAACUUUUAUAAGUAUUUAAAAUGUGGUUUCUUCAAAGAAGCACACAGAUAAAGCAAUAAACUUGUGGUCUGACUUUUCUUUCCAAAGGAACAGUUUUUUAUGACAUCCUUUUUGUAUAACUAUUUGUUGGUAGCACAUUCUUCUUCUUUCUCUUUCCCCACCAAAAACAGCUUCAAAAUAUAGAAUGGCUGCUGAUUCAACCAAAGCCUGGGACAGUUACUCUUAAUUCCCCCCCCCCCCCAGAAAUACUAAAUUAGCCUUUCGAAAAGUACAGUCAUAUUCAGUCAUCAGGAAGGUGAAUAAGAGGCACUGCUAAUCUGUCCUGAUUUUUGUAAUUUGUAGAAGUAGCAUUAUUUAUGGCCCUCUAAUUGCUUUCUCAACAAUGGAAAGUUCAUAAUGGUUGUUUCCUGACACUUAAGUUUUGGGAUAAGAGAAGAUAUGGAUGCUGAAUUAAUUCCCCCCGUUACUUAAAAGUCCUAAAGGCACCAGAUGCUGGGUUGUUGUGAGUUUUCUGGGCUGUAUGGCCAUGUUCCAGAAGCAUUCUCUCCUGAUGUUUUGUCCACAUCUAUGGCAGGUAUCCUCAGAGAUUGGAAACUAAGCAAGGGAUGUU
rnacentral:lncRNA from 11 species